GUUUCUGUAGUGUAGUGGUUAUCACGUUCGCUUUAACACGCGACGGUCCCCCGGUUCGAGACCGGGCGGAAACA